AGAAUUAGGGUUUGACUCCGGAGAGGCAGCCUGAGAGACGGCUACCAGUUCUAAGGAACGCAGCAGGCGCGCAAAUUACACAAUGACAGUAAACUGUUGAUGUAGUGACAAGAGGUAACGGGGCGGUCCUCUAUGAGGCCCGUCAUUGUAUUGAGUAAAACUCAAAAUAUUUAACGAAACCAAUUGGAGGGCAAGUCUGGUGCCAGCAGCCGCGGUAAUUCCAGCUCCAAAAGCAUAUAUUAAAGUUGUUGCGGUUAAAAAGCUCGUAGUUGGAUCCAUGACCUCGGAGGGCGGUCCCCCACUGGGUGCGUACUGCUGCUCCGAGUCCUAUCUGUCAGUUUGUCUGUGUUGCCUUUAAUCGGGUGGCACAGGUGACUGACGUGUUUACUUUGAAAAAAUUAGAGUGUUUAAAGCAGGCGUUGAAUGCCUGAAUAGUGGUGCAUGGAAUAAUGGAAUAGGAUCUCGGUUCUAUUUUGUUGGUUCAAGAGCAUGAGAAAAUGAUUAAGAGGGACAGACGGGGGCAUUUGUAUUGCUGCGUUAGAGGUGAAAUUCUUGGAUCGUAGCAAGACAAACUACUGCGAAGGCAUUUGCCAAGAAUGUUUACAUUAAUCAAGAACGAAAGUUAGAGGUUCGAAGGCGAUCAGAUACCGCCCUAGUUCUAACCGUAAACCAUGUCGACUAGCUAUCUGUCAGCGUUAAUAAUGACCUGACAGGCAGCUUACCGGAAACGAAAGUUUCUCGAUUCCGGGGGUAGUAUGGUUGCAAAGCUGAAACUUAAAGGAAUUGACGGAAGGGCACCACCAGGAGUGGAGCCUGCGGCUUAAUUUGACCCAACACGGGAAAACUCACCCGGCCCGGACACCGUAAGGAUUGACAGAUUAAUAGCUCUUUCUCGAUUUGGUGAUUGGUGGUGCAUGGCCGUUCUUAGUUGGUGGAGCGAUUUGUCUGGUUAAUUCCGAUAACGAACGAGAUUCUAACUUACUAACUAGUUCCACGAUCCUUGUGGUCCUAAAUACUUCUUAGAGGGAAAACCGGCAUUUAGUCGAACGAGAUUGAGCAAUAACAGGUCUGUGAUGCCCUUAGAUGUCCGGGGCUGCACGCGUGCUACACUGAAGGAAUCAGCGUGUUUUUCCCUUGCCUGUAAUGGCUGGGUAACCGACUGAAUCUCCUUCGUGCUAGGGAUAGAUCAUUGAAACUAGUGAUCUUCAACUUGGAAUUCCUGGUACGUUUGAGUCAUAAGCUCAAGCAGAUUACGUCCCUGCCCUUUGUACACACCGCCCGUCGCUACUACCGACUGGCAAUAUCUUUGAGACACUUGGAGCGGCCGUGAGCUACCCUAACCGGUAACUCACGGCUGCGAAAAGGUUCGAA
rnacentral:rRNA from 1 species